rnacentral:rRNA from 3 species
AGACCCGAAACCCGGUGAUCUAGCCAUGGGCAGGUUGAAGGUUGGGUAACACUAACUGGAGGACCGAACCGACUAAUGUUGAAAAAUUAGCGGAUGACCUGUGGCUGGGGGUGAAAGGCCAAUCAAACCGGGAGAUAGCUGGUUCUCCCCGAAAGCUAUUUAGGUAGCGCCUCGUGAAUUCAUCUCCGGGGGUAGAGCACUGUUUCGGCUAGGGGGCCAUCCCGGCUUACCAACCCGAUGCAAACUGCGAAUACCGGAGAAUGUUAUCACGGGAGACACACGGCGGGUGCUAACGUCCGUCGUGAAGAGGGAAACAACCCAGACCGCCAGCUAAGGUCCCAAAGUCAUGGUUAAGUGGGAAACGAUGUGGGAAGGCCCAGACAGCCAGGAUGUUGGCUUAGAAGCAGCCAUCAUUUAAAGAAAGCGUAAUAGCUCACUGGUCGAGUCGGCCUGCGCGGAAGAUGUAACGGGGCUAAACCAUGCACCGAAGCUGCGGCAGCGAACGUAUCACCCAAGACAACUUUACGGAGUUGACGAUUGACGGAGCGAAGCGACGUCAAAGCGUUCAUUAAAGUCGAGUUGGCUUAGGGAUACGUUCGUUGGGUAGGGGAGCGUUCUGUAAGCCUGUGAAGGUGUGUCGUGAGGCAUGCUGGAGGUAUCAGAAGUGCGAAUGCUGACAUAAGUAACGAUAAAGCGGGUGAAAAGCCCGCUCGCCGGAAGACCAAGGGUUCCUGUCCAACGUUAAUCGGGGCAGGGUGAGUCGACCCCUAAGGCGAGGCCGAAAGGCGUAGUCGAUGGGAAACGGGUUAAUAUUCCCGUACUUGGUGUUACUGCGAAGGGGGGACGGAGAAGGCUAUGUUGGCCGGGCGACGGUUGUCCCGGUUUAAGCGUGUAGGUGUGUGUUCCAGGUAAAUCCGGUUCACUUUAACACUGAGGCGUGACGACGAGGCACUACGGUGCUGAAGCAACAAAUGCCCUGCUUCCAGGAAAAGCCUCUAAGCAUCAGGUAACAUCAAAUCGUACCCCAAACCGACACAGGUGGUCAGGUAGAGAAUACCAAGGCGCUUGAGAGAACUCGGGUGAAGGAACUAGGCAAAAUGGUGCCGUAACUUCGGGAGAAGGCACGCUGACACGUAGGUGAAGUGAUUUACUCAUGGAGCUGAAGUCAGUCGAAGAUACCAGCUGGCUGCAACUGUUUAUUAAAAACACAGCACUGUGCAAACACGAAAGUGGACGUAUACGGUGUGACGCCUGCCCGGUGCCGGAAGGUUAAUUGAUGGGGUCAGCGCAAGCGAAGCUCCUGAUCGAAGCCCCGGUAAACGGCGGCCGUAACUAUAACGGUCCUAAGGUAGCGAAAUUCCUUGUCGGGUAAGUUCCGACCUGCACGAAUGGCGUAAUGAUGGCCAGGCUGUCUCCACCCGAGACUCAGUGAAAUUGAACUCGCUGUGAAGAUGCAGUGUACCCGCGGCAAGACGGAAAGACCCCGUGAACCUUUACUAUAGCUUGACACUGAACAUUGAGCCUUGAUGUGUAGGAUAGGUGGGAGGCUUUGAAGUGUGGACGCCAGUCUGCAUGGAGCCGACCUUGAAAUACCACCCUUUAAUGUUUGAUGUUCUAACGUGGACCCGUAAUCCGGGUUGCGGACAGUGUCUGGUGGGUAGUUUGACUGGGGCGGUCUCCUCCUAAAGAGUAACGGAGGAGCACGAAGGUUGGCUAAUCCUGGUCGGACAUCAGGAGGUUAGUGCAAUGGCAUAAGCCAGCUUGACUGCGAGCGUGACGGCGCGAGCAGGUGCGAAAGCAGGUCAUAGUGAUCCGGUGGUUCUGAAUGGAAGGGCCAUCGCUCAACGGAUAAAAGGUACUCCGGGGAUAACAGGCUGAUACCGCCCAAGAGUUCAUAUCGACGGCGGUGUUUGGCACCUCGAUGUCGGCUCAUCACAUCCUGGGGCUGAAGUAGGUCCCAAGGGUAUGGCUGUUCGCCAUUUAAAGUGGUACGCGAGCUGGGUUUAGAACGUCGUGAGACAGU